UCUGUGUUCUGUGUCAAUGACGGAGCUGCGGGGACCCGAUAUCUGGCCCAGCUGUAGUCUUGGCUCUCAUCUGGGCACCUGUUGCUUGGUCAGAUGAGCCUUUGAACCAGUGCAGAGCCAAGCGGAUGCCCCUCCCGGUGGAGAUGGCCUCAUGCGAGCUGCAGCAGGUGCCCUGGACAGAAGGCAGGAGAGGAGGGCUUGCUGUCUCUGCCCGACUGUGGGCUGGGACGCUCGUCUUCUCUUGGCCCUGGGCUGAGGCUGACACUGUCGCUGCUCCUGGUUCUGGGGUCAUAGGACUCAGGCUAGAAUUUAGAAGUGAAACCACCAGCUUUCCUGGCUUCCCCUGUGGAUGGCCUUCCUCCUCUGUCCAGGCGACCUCAGGACCGGGGCAGAACAAUCUGAAAGCAUCUCACUGCAGCCAGAUUGUCAGCUUAUAAACACCAGUAAAAGCCUUUCUCUUGAAGAUUUCAUCAGAAAUUCCAAACGUGAUUGUGAAACUGAACAGCUGUGUGCUGUUUUCUCCCUUGAAUCCUGGUUCCCAGCCCUCGCCAGGAAAAGGUGAAUGAAGAUACCAGGCCCCCUCAAGGAUUUCACAAGCCCCAAUACACACAAAGAUUUUAAAUAAGCAGUGAUUCGAACGGGCACCUAGAAACGAGCGUUGAUGCCGACAGGAGAACACCCGAGCGGCAGAUGGCUCGUGUGUGCACGUGGUCUGGGGAGUCGGGGCUGCGGGCGGAGGGCUGCGAGGUGCAGGGUGGGGGGCUCCAGGCGGAUGAAACUGCACAGCACAGUCAGGGAGCCAGCGGCAGAGGGGCCGAGGGCCUGACGCAUCAAGCUCGCGGUUUCUGUCUUCACCCCAGCGAGGAGAGACAGGCGGCUGGAGGGAAGCAGAACUCAACUUGCCCCGAAGCAGCGAGUGCAGCAGCUGAGGAUGAGACGGGUCAGAAAGCUGGCCCGAGGUGCCGGUCUCAGGGCUAAGGUGGGAUGUUCAUCUCGGACAGCGUGACACCAAAGGCCCCACACCCUUAGCUUCUGUCACACUGAUUCCAGAAGACAGGCAAGGAGUCCAGCUACAUGCUGCAGGAAUCCAGGCAGGAGCUUGUGAGGGUCUGAAGGAGCGGAGAGGAUGGGGUGGGGAGGAGGGCAGCGUAGACUUCAUGAACAUCUAUGAAGCCACGGCAAGACUUGGGGACUACAGCUCUGCUUCCUCUCUGGGACGGUGAGGGCCUUGCAGAUGGCAUCUGUGAGCCCACUGGGAGCUCAGUCAAUCUCUGUGGACCGUUUAACCAAUGCCGCACUUAACCACUGCACCGCUUAACCAACGAGGAACAGAAAGGGAAAAAAAUCUACACGUUUGCCCCCUUUUGCUUCACGUUUUAGAAUACAAAUACAGUUGUUAAGGUAUGAAGUAUAUCACUGCUAAACAAAUAAAAGUGUCUGCAAAACAGUAAGCAAGCUUCAGACAGGCUUUCUUACGUGGUAUUUAUAGCAUUAACUAUGUUACUAGUUUAGACAUACAUGCAAAUUAAGCUGGCUGUGAUAGUAAAGUCAAAUAUUACAGCUCAGACAUGUACAUUUAAAAACAAUCUUCUUGAGUCUGAGAGUAACUAGAUUUUGACACACACACAAUAAAAUAAAGAAAAAAACAAAAAGUGUUCAAGAGGAUGCAUAUACAAUGUGUACAACUGAGCUACACAUUGGAAGGGAAUGGGGUAUACCGGGGAAGCUUGUAUAGAAAUGAUAUCUUUAGCAUAAUCGACCUAAGGCCUGUGGUCCUCACCCAAUACAAACUUCUUUGGUGUUACUACUGAAACAAAACCAACAUCAUAGACC